AUGAUCCACAUCCCGGCCUCAGCCUCAAGCCCCCUCCUGCUCCUGGUCAAUCCGGCCCUGCUGGCCCUCCCAGGGCUCCGGGCGGCCGUGACCCUGCUGGAGUCCGGGGGGGACCUCCAGCCCCCCGGGGGGUCCCUGCGCCUCCUCUGCCGAGCCUCCGGCUUUGAUUUCAAGAGCUACGACAUGUUCUGGAUCCGCCAGAGACCCGGGCAGGCGCUGGAAUACGUGGCAAUGAUCAACUACGAUGGUGUCUACAGCGAAUACGCGCCCUCGGUCAAGGACCGGGUCACGAUGUCCAGGGACAACGGGCAGAGCUCGGUGACGCUGACCAUGAGCAGCCUCCAGGACGAGGAUUCCGGAUCCUAUUUCUGUGCCAAAGCUGCUGGUGGUCACGAUGUUAAGAGUGCUGCUGAUUAUUUUGACGCCGUCCCUGCCCCCGUGUCCCAGCCCUGA